rnacentral:rRNA from 1 species
AGAUUAAGUUAUUAAGGGCGCACGGUGGAUGCCUUGGCACUAGAAGCCGAUGAAGGACGUUACUAACGACGAUAUGCUUUGGGGAGCUGUAAGUAAGCUUUGAUCCAGAGAUUUCCGAAUGGGGAAACCCAGCAUGAGUUAUGUCAUGUUAUCGAUAUGUGAAUACAUAGCAUAUCAGAAGGCACACCCGGAGAACUGAAACAUCUUAGUACCCGGAGGAAGAGAAAGAAAAUUCGAUUCCCUUAGUAGCGGCGAGCGAAACGGGAAGAGCCCAAACCAACAAGCUUGCUUGUUGGGGUUGUAGGACACUCUAUACGGAGUUACAAAGGACGACAUUAGACGAAUCAUCUGGAAAGAUGAAUCAAAGAAGGUAAUAAUCCUGUAGUCGAAAAUGUUGUCUCUCUUGAGUGGAUCCUGAGUACGACGGAGCACGUGAAAUUCCGUCGGAAUCUGGGAGGACCAUCUCCUAAGGCUAAAUACUCUCUAGUGACCGAUAGUGAACCAGUACCGUGAGGGAAAGGUGAAAAGCACCCCGGAAGGGGAGUGAAAUAGAACCUGAAACCGUGUGCUUACAAGUAGUCAGAGCCCGUUAAUGGGUGAUGGCGUGCCUUUUGUAGAAUGAACCGGCGAGUUACGAUUUGAUGCAAGGUUAAGCAGUAAAUGUGGAGCCGUAGCGAAAGCGAGUCUGAAUAGGGCGUUUAGUAUUUGGUCGUAGACCCGAAACCAGGUGAUCUACCCUUGGUCAGGUUGAAGUUCAGGUAACACUGAAUGGAGGACCGAACCGACUUACGUUGAAAAGUGAGCGGAUGAACUGAGGGUAGCGGAGAAAUUCCAAUCGAACCUGGAGAUAGCUGGUUCUCUCCGAAAUAGCUUUAGGGCUAGCCUCAAGUGAUGAUUAUUGGAGGUAGAGCACUGUUUGGACGAGGGGCCCCUCUCGGGUUACCGAAUUCAGACAAACUCCGAAUGCCAAUUAAUUUAACUUGGGAGUCAGAACAUGGGUGAUAAGGUCCGUGUUCGAAAGGGAAACAGCCCAGACCACCAGCUAAGGUCCCAAAAUAUAUGUUAAGUGGAAAAGGAUGUGGCGUUGCCCAGACAACUAGGAUGUUGGCUUAGAAGCAGCCAUCAUUUAAAGAGUGCGUAAUAGCUCACUAGUCGAGUGACACUGCGCCGAAAAUGUACCGGGGCUAAACAUAUUACCGAAGCUGUGGAUUGUCCUUUGGACAAUGGUAGGAGAGCGUUCUAAGGGCGUUGAAGCAUGAUCGUAAGGACAUGUGGAGCGCUUAGAAGUGAGAAUGCCGGUGUGAGUAGCGAAAGACGGGUGAGAAUCCCGUCCACCGAUUGACUAAGGUUUCCAGAGGAAGGCUCGUCCGCUCUGGGUUAGUCGGGUCCUAAGCUGAGGCCGACAGGCGUAGGCGAUGGAUAACAGGUUGAUAUUCCUGUACCACCUAUAAUCGUUUUAAUCGAUGGGGGGACGCAGUAGGAUAGGCGAAGCGUGCGAUUGGAUUGCACGUCUAAGCAGUAAGGCUGAGUAUUAGGCAAAUCCGGUACUCGUUAAGGCUGAGCUGUGAUGGGGAGAAGACAUUGUGUCUUCGAGUCGUUGAUUUCACACUGCCGAGAAAAGCCUCUAGAUAGAAAAUAGGUGCCCGUACCGCAAACCGACACAGGUAGUCAAGAUGAGAAUUCUAAGGUGAGCGAGCGAACUCUCGUUAAGGAACUCGGCAAAAUGACCCCGUAACUUCGGGAGAAGGGGUGCUCUUUAGGGUUAACGCCCAGAAGAGCCGCAGUGAAUAGGCCCAAGCGACUGUUUAUCAAAAACACAGGUCUCUGCUAAACCGUAAGGUGAUGUAUAGGGGCUGACGCCUGCCCGGUGCUGGAAGGUUAAGAGGAGUGGUUAGCUUCUGCGAAGCUACGAAUCGAAGCCCCAGUAAACGGCGGCCGUAACUAUAACGGUCCUAAGGUAGCGAAAUUCCUUGUCGGGUAAGUUCCGACCCGCACGAAAGGCGUAACGAUUUGGGCACUGUCUCAACGAGAGACUCGGUGAAAUCAUAGUACCUGUGAAGAUGCAGGUUACCCGCGACAGGACGGAAAGACCCCGUGGAGCUUUACUGUAGCCUGAUAUUGAAAUUCGGCACAGCUUGUACAGGAUAGGUAGGAGCCUUUGAAACGUGAGCGCUAGCUUACGUGGAGGCGCUGGUGGGAUACUACCCUAGCUGUGUUGGCUUUCUAACCCGCACCACUUAUCGUGGUGGGAGACAGUGUCAGGCGGGCAGUUUGACUGGGGCGGUCGCCUCCUAAAAGGUAACGGAGGCGCUCAAAGGUUCCCUCAGAAUGGUUGGAAAUCAUUCAUAGAGUGUAAAGGCAUAAGGGAGCUUGACUGCGAGACCUACAAGUCGAGCAGGGUCGAAAGACGGACUUAGUGAUCCGGUGGUUCCGCAUGGAAGGGCCAUCGCUCAACGGAUAAAAGCUACCCCGGGGAUAACAGGCUUAUCUCCCCCAAGAGUUCACAUCGACGGGGAGGUUUGGCACCUCGAUGUCGGC